rnacentral:rRNA from 1 species
GACCGAAGGGGAUGAACCAUCUGAAAAAAACGGCGACUACCUACUCUCCCACUGUUACGCAGUACCAUCGGCGUAAUCAGGCUUAACUUCUCUGUUCGGAAUGGGAAGAGGUGGAACCCUGAUGCUAUAGU